UACGUAGGGGGCGAGCGUUGUCCGGAAUCAUUGGGCGUAAAGCGCGUGUAGGCGGCUCGGUAAGUCUGCUGUGAAAGUCCAGGGCUCAACCCUGGGAUGCCGGUGGAUACUGUCGAGCUCGAGUCCGGAAGAGGCGAGUGGAAUUCCUGGUGUAGCGGUGAAAUGCGUAGAUAUUGGGAGGAACACCAGUGGCGAAGGCGGCUCACUGGACCGGUACUGACGCUGAGGCGCGAAAGCGUGGGGAGCAACAGGAGUUAAGAUACCCCG
rnacentral:rRNA from 1 species